CGCGGCGCGCGGUGGGUGGUGGGUGUCUGGGCUCUGCUGUGUUGCCGCUGUUCGCUGGGGGCUCCUUCCCCUAAACGCGAGGGGAAGAUGGCGGGCUCCCCAGCGCCCUGCGCCUUCUUCGCGCAUUUGCCGCUGUGCAGGUGCCUGAUCCACGCGGGCCGAUCCGUAGCACCACGAGGGUGUACAAGACGACCCCCAGUGUGUGGAACUUGAAUAAAGCUUGAGCCCCAGGGACUGAGCCCCUGGACAGAUCUGGCCCUGAACUGAUGACUGAAGGCCUGAGGUUUGGAGUCUCCUGUUUUGGAGAAGUGCUGGGGAGGUGACUUGCUUGCCUAACCUUCCUGUUUACAUACUGAGAUGAGGAAAAAGCCAUGUGCCUACUGUAACCACUGUGGAUUUUGCUGGCAAAAUGAAUGUCCUCUAUUUGGUGAUGUGGGCAGACCCUUGGAACUUGUGUCUUUCCUGCAUUUUGUGAGCAGCUAUCAGAUUUGAGGCAUUGAAGAUUGUUAUUAAGAUCAGUGAGACAGCUUUCAGUUAAGUACUUUGUUGUAUCUAAAGGAUUUCAAUAAAAUAUUUUAAGGUGAAAGUUUGGUCUGG